rnacentral:rRNA from 1 species
GACGAACGCUGGCGGCGUGCUUAACACAUGCAAGUCGUACGGUAAGGCCCUUUCGGGGGUACACGAGUGGCGAACGGGUGAGUAACACGUGAGUAACCUGCCCACAACUUUGGGAUAACGCUAGGAAACUGGUGCUAAUACUGGAUAUGUGCCCCUGCUGCAUGGUGGGGGUUGGAAAGCUCCGGCGGUUGUGGAUGGACUCGCGGCCUAUCAGCUUGUUGGUGGGGUAGUGGCCUACCAAGGCGGCGACGGGUAGCCGGCCUGAGAGGGUGACCGGCCACAUUGGGACUGAGAUACGGCCCAGACUCCUACGGGAGGAAGCAGUGGGGAAUAUUGCACAAUGGGCGCAAGCCUGAUGCAGCAACGCCGCGUGCGGGAUGACGGCCUUCGGGUUGUAAACCGCUUUCAGCAGGGACGAAGCUUUUUGUGACGGUACCUGCAGAAGAAGCACCGGCUAACUACGUG